ACAAGCCGGCCUUCCCACUACCAUGUCCUUUGGGAUGACAAUCGUUUCUCUUCUGACGAGCUGCAGAUUCUAACCUACCAGCUGUGUCACACCUACGUGCGCUGUACGCGCUCUGUGUCCAUCCCGGCUCCAGCGUACUAUGCUCACUUGGUGGCCUUCCGGGCCAGGUACCACCUGGUGGAUAAAGAGCAUGACAGUGCUGAAGGAAGCCAUACCUCCGGGCAGAGCAAUGGGCGAGACCACCAAGCGCUGGCCAAGGCGGUCCAGGUCCAUCAGGACACGCUGCGCACCAUGUACUUUGCUUGAAGUGUUCUAGAGUUCAGCGAUUGUGCACCAAGUUGGAUUCACAUGAGACCAGCUACACUCAGACCAACAGAUGCCCAGCCCUUCUCUGACAGCCAGCAUCGAACAUGAGACGUCUUGGUUUAUUAGAUUCUCCAUUUUCCAGAAUGCCUUCCGUCCCGGAUUUCAAACUUGGAUUUUGAACUGCAGACCUGUAUGAGACCCCACUGUCGUAGGAAAUAUGGUUUGCCAAAAUCUAUAAGCUGCUUAUUGAAAUAGAGUCCCGUGUUUCCUAAAA